CUGAAAUGUGAUGUUGGUGAGCUCCGGGUUGUAC
rnacentral:sRNA from 1 species